ensembl:rRNA 5S_rRNA 5S ribosomal RNA
AUCUAUGGCCAUACCACCCUGAAUGCGCCCAAUCUCGUCAGGUCUUGGAAGCUAAGCAGGGUCAGACUCGGUUAGUACUUAGGUGGGAGACUGCCUGGAAAUACCAUGUGUUAUAGGCU